rnacentral:lncRNA from 1 species
GGCUGAUUUUGACAAUACAAUGCACAUAUAUCCGGUACUAGCUCCAUUAAGUCAUGCUAAAUUACUGAAAUCCUCAUAAUUCUAGCAUUUUAGUUAAAUUUUAGACGGUUUUCGUGUAAAACGAAAGUGGCCGCAUUCGUGUUCAUCCUUAAUAUUGAAAUGUAAGUUGUAUUUUAUGAUAAUACAUAACAUAUAUAAAGGUUGAG